UUCACCUCGCCGUUUUCAACCAUACUCGCAACCUUAACCUCGCCCGUCUUUACUGCCAGCAACUCUUUCUUCUUUUCCUCUUCUUCCUCAAGCUUUUUCCGUUCAGCCUCCGCUUUAGCAGCUUCCAGAGCUCCUAUCAAACUCUUCAAACACCUUUCGGUAUCCGGCGGGCUGGUCUUCGGCAUCAAAUUCUCCGCCACAUCCGCCGGAGUCAUCUCAACUUCUCCCAACAAUUCACUAAUCCUCUCAAACAAGUCAUGUGUUUGGAUACAUAAAUAAUUCUUCGCCAAUACCUUAAACGCCUCGAACCCGCAAUAAGACAACUCAAUAUGCUUAUCCAUCCUGCCUCUCCUAAUCAAUGCAGGAUCCAGCUUCUCAACAUGAUUAGUAGUAAAAACAAUCAAUCUAUCUCCACCACAAGCUGACCACAACCCAUCAACAAAAUUCAACAAACCGGAUAACGUAACCUUACUAGUUUUCCCUUCAUUCUCAGGCGGCUUUAUCGGUUUCUUCGGGUCACUCUCCUCCUCCUCUUCCUUCACUUCCUUCUUCCUCUGUCCGGUAAGAUCCAUCGAACAAUCGAUAUCUUCAAUCACAAUAAUCGACUUACUCGACGUCUCUAUCAACAAUCUUCUAAGCUCCGUGUUGUCCUUGACAGCUGUCAGUUCGAGGUCGUAUAUAUCGUAGCAUAAGAAAUUCGCCAUGGCGGCGAUCAUGGUGGAUUUACCGGUCCCUGGGGGACCGUAAAGAAGGAUCCAUAGCUAGGGUUUGAAACGAAGCUGGAUGCUCAAACACAACAUGGCUCCAUUGAGAUCCGUUGUUAGUGUAAAGCUUUCUCAUUCGGGUUUUCACUUUAAUGUCUCUACCUUCUUUCAAAACAUGUUGGUAAAAUGAAAACGACUGUGUCUUGAGUAUGUUUUUACCGGAAGACCAGUAAACUUUGACGCCGUUAAAGUCAUCCGCCACUUCUUCAUGAUCGUCCAUGGAUAAAGAGAGUGGUUGCGUGUUGUUUUUGAUAACAUCGGCUUUGAGUCGUUUGGCUUGCAUUGAAGUGGUCUUGCCGAGGUAGGUUUCGAUAGCGGAGUAGGCUUCGCUGCGCUUGAAGCGCUCGCCGGUGAAUUCGUUGAAGGUGAUUUGGAUGUAAGGGUAGAAGAGGGUUAGGAAACGUUGAGAGUAUUUUUCGAAAAAGUUUCGGACGUUGUAUGGGAAGUAUUGUUGGAUGAUGGCCCAAACGAACAUGACACUAGCUAGAAGUGAACCUAAGUGUCCUAACAUGUCUGCCAUGUUGAAUUUGUUCAUGGUGUUUGGUUUUGUUGAAUAUUGGAGAUGAGGGUUUGGUGUGGAUGGAUGGGGUGCUUGGUUUAUAAAGAAUAAAAAUGGGUGAAUCAAUAUGGGGUUGAAAACGGUGGGUAGGGGUAGGGUUGCUUAAUUUAAGUUUGCUACGUGUUUGUUUGUUUUCUUGUUCGAUAAGCUUAUGAAUAGUUGAAGUCGUCGGUUGUUUUUUUGUGUUCACAUGGACCAUGGCUGUAUAAUUUGGACUUUUCCUUUAGAUUUUUAAAUGUGCAUAGAAAAAAAAAUUAUCUUAUGGAUGUGGUAUUCAUUUGUACCUCAUACCGUC
rnacentral:lncRNA from 1 species